AUUGAACGCUGGCGGCAUGCUUUACACAUGCAAGUCGAACGGUAACAGGGUGCUUGCACCGCUGACGAGUGGCGAACGGGUGAGUAAUGCGUCGGAACGUGCCGAGUAGUGGGGGAUAACGCAGCGAAAGUUGUGCUAAUACCGCAUACGUACUGAGGUAGAAAGUGGGGGACCUUCGGGCCUCACGCUAUUCGAGCGGCCGCCGUCUGUGUAGCUAGUAGGUGAGGUAAAGGCUCACCUAGGCGACGAUCAGUAGCGGGUCUGAGAGGAUGAUCCGCCACACUGGGACUGAGACACGGCCCAGACUCCUACGGGAGGCAGCAGUGGGGAAUUUUGGACAAUGGGCGAAAGCCUGAUCCAGCCAUGCCGCGUGUCUGAAGAAGGCCUUCGGGUUGUAAAGGACUUUUGUCGGGGAGGAAAUCCCCAGCGUUAAUACCGCUGGGGGAUGACAGUACCUGAAGAAUAAGCACCGGCUAACUACGUGCCAGCCGCCGCAGUAAUAC
rnacentral:rRNA from 1 species